rnacentral:rRNA from 1 species
AUGUCUCAGUACAAGCCGAAUUAAGUGAAACCGCGAAAGGCUCAUUAAAUCAGUUAUGGUUCCUUAGAUCGUACCCACAUUUACUUGGAUAACUGUGGUAAUUCUAGAGCUAAUACAUGCAAACAGAGCUCCGACCGGAGACGGAAGGAGCGCUUUUAUUAGAUCAAAACCAAUCGGUGGCGGGUUCGCUCGUCAUCGUACAACUUGGUGACUCUGAAUAACUUUAAGCUGAUCGCACGGUCUCGCACCGGCGACGCAUCUUUCAAAUGUCUGCCUUAUCAACUGUCGAUGGUAGGUUCUGCGCCUACCAUGGUUGUAACGGGUAACGGGGAAUCAGGGUUCGAUUCCGGAGAGGGAGCCUGAGAAACGGCUACCACAUCCAAGGAAGGCAGCAGGCGCGCAAAUUACCCACUCCCGGCACGGGGAGGUAGUGACGAAAAAUAACGAUACGGGACUCAUCCGAGGCCCCGUAAUCGGAAUGAGUACACUCUAAACCCUUUAACGAGGAUCAAUUGGAGGGCAAGUCUGGUGCCAGCAGCCGCGGUAAUUCCAGCUCCAAUAGCGUAUAUUAAAGUUGUUGCGGUUAAAAAGCUCGUAGUCGAAUUUGUGUCCCGCGCCGCCGGUUCAUCGUCCGCGGUGUCAACUGGCGUGUCGCGGGACGUCCUGCCGGUGGGCUUAGCUCUUUCGGGCGACGCCCAACUCAAUCCCGCCGCGGUGCUCUUCAUUGAGUGUCGAGGUGGGCCGGCACGUUUACUUUGAACAAAUUAGAGUGCUUAAAGCAGGCUAAAAUUUCGCCUGAAUACUGUGUGCAUGGAAUAAUGGAAUAGGACCUCGGUUCUAUUUUGUUGGUUUUCGGAACCCCGAGGUAAUGAUUAAUAGGAACGGAUGGGGGCAUUCGUAUUGCGA